AAUGGCGAAUGCACAGGGUUACUCUCAAUGUGGGAAUUGAGGUACAGAGCUUUGAAUUGUGGUAAUAGGUGGUGUGACCAGUGGGAUUGCAACUGUGGGCCCUUGGAAAUCUGCAAUGGCAAGGGUGAGGCUCCUGUCUGUCAGUUGAAGGUCAGCAUCAAUGGUGCACCUUCGAAGAGUCGUAUCUUUUAGCAUUGGUGUGUGAAGAUUGUGAUGCAUUAGACUGAAAGCCUAAUGACUACCUUAGACUGAUAGCGAACAAGUACCAUGUCGGAAACGUGAUACAUAGCUUUGAAAAAGGAGUUGAUGAUAUUUGAACUUGCUGAAUUGGGGAACAGAGGGGGAUUGGUUGAACUAGGCAGCAACUUUGACUGNNNNNUCUUGAAACACGGACCAAGGAGUUGAACAUAUGUUCAGGUUGGGAUGUUGGGACAGCAUGAUGGUGUGAUGAAGGUGAUGAUGUGUGAUUUUUCCACAAUAUACUACCAUUAAAUGUUGAGGACUUGUGAUGUAGCAUGCAUGUUAGGACCCGAAAGGUGGUGAACUAUGUUUAUGAAGGGCAAAGUCAGAGGAAACCCUGAUGGCGGUUUACAUUGGUACUGACGUGCAAAUUGUUCACAGUAUAUAAAUAUAGGGGUGAAAGACUCAUCGAAUCAUCUGGUAGCUGGUUCCCUCUGAAAUGUCCUUCAGGAUAGCUGGAGUCAAACAACUUCACUAGGUAAAGUUAUUGAUUAGAAGAGUCAGGCAUUUUGUAUUGUAGACCUAUUCUCAAACUCUAAACGGGCGAGGCUAAGUGAUUACGUGUGAGAGUUACAUGGGUGGGUGUUUUCUCCAAGUGGGCCAUUCUUGGUAAGCAGAAACGGCAAUGAGGGAUGAACCUAAUGUUGUACAAAUGGGCCUCAAUAUUCACAUAGCAGAAACCAUGAAGGGUGUUGGUUCAUCUAAACAGCUGGACAAUGGUCAUGGAAGUUGAAAUUUGCCAAGGAGUGUGUAACAACUCAC
rnacentral:rRNA from 1 species